CCUGCCCCUAGAAGUGUUACAGGGGUGGGUGCUGUGUCACAUGUGUGUUAGGAGAUGGCAGAGAGAAAAGAGUUUUCCUACAUUCAGUGUCCUAACCUAAGAAUGGCUAAAUGAUUAGUAACCUAAUAUU